AUCGAACGCUGGCGGCAGGCCUAACACAUGCAAGUCGAGCGAGCGGCGGACGGGUGAGUAUUGUAUGGGGACUGCCCGCUAUAGGGGGAUAACAACUGGAAACGAUAGCUAAUACCGCAUACUCUCGGAUAUCCCCUAUGGGAUUAGCUGGUAGGUGGGGUAAUGGCUCACCUUGGCGACGAACCCUAGCUGGUAUGAGAGGAUGAUCAGCCACAUUGGAACUGAAAAACGGCCCAGACUCCUACGGAGGCGGCAGUGGGGAAUAUUGCACAAUGGGCGCAAGCCGGAUGAAGAAAUGCCGCGUGGAUGAAGAAGGCCCUAGGGUUGUAAGGUACGUUCAGUCGGGAGGCGGUACCGACAGAGAAAGCACCGGCUAACUCCGUGCCAGCAGCCGCGGUAAUAC
rnacentral:rRNA from 1 species